AAUGGGUGGACGGCACCCCACUGACCACAGGGUGAGAGAUGAUAACUAAUCUGUCAAUAAGGCUCCUUUCAACCUUUUUCUAUGCAGGUUACUGAUAUUGAUGAUAGCAGUCAACACAGUUAACUAUCAGAUGACAAAUGUCUACAUAUUAUUUAGUAUUAUGAUGUUAUAACUGUGAUGUCUUAUUGUUGUUAAUCCUGUAGGUACUUGUAUUAACAAGGUAGGUACUGGUAUUAACCAUGAUAUCUGACUGUUGUUAACCCUGUAGGUACUGGUAUUAACCAUGAUAUCUGACUGUUGUUAACCCUGUAGGUACUGGUAUUAACAAUGAUAUCUGACUGUUGUUAACCCUGUAGGUACUGGUAUUAACCAUGAUAUCUGACUGUUGUUAACCCUGUAGGUACUGGUAUUAACCAUGAUAUCUGACUUUUUUUAACCCUGUAGGUACUGGUAUGCCAAACAGCCUGAUAAUGCAGGUCCUAAUGGGGACGAGGACUGUGCUGAGAUACACAAAAAUCAGAGUCCUCUAAAGGCAUGGAAUGACAUGUCAUGUGGCAGCAAACUCAACUGGGUUUGUGAGAAAGUGUUUUAAAAUCACCAUGGCAACAUGCUGUAACACAUACAGUAGACUACAGUGCACAGAACUUCCUCCUCUGUCUCUGUCUCUCUCUCUCUUUGUCUCAAACUCAUGCACACAAAUGUUGUAUUUGUUUGUAUUAAUAUAUUAAUAAAAGUCCUACUUGUUUCCUGAUAUUGUAGCUUCCUGUUUACCAGAGACAACAUGAAGAUAGUACAUCAGACUCUGCUAUAUGGGUCUCAAAAGAGGGAAGUGAAGUUGUUAUUUUCAGUUGUUCAACCAGCUGUCACUCAAAACCUCCUCCACUAAUCAGGUUCAUUAAGAGAGAACAGAGCUGCGUCCGUUUCUGUCG
rnacentral:lncRNA from 1 species